rnacentral:tRNA from 1 species
GGAGGGGUGGGUGAGCGGCUAAUACCAGCAGACUGUAAAUCUGCCGCCUGAAAUGGCUACGUAGGUUCGAAUCCUACCCCCUCCACCA